GCGGAAGUGGCAAAAUUGGUAGACGCACCAGAUUUAGGUUCUGGCGCCGCGAGGCGUAAGAGUUCAAGUCUCUUCUUCCGCACCA
rnacentral:tRNA from 1 species